AGAGAGAGACAUGCGCGCAUAUCAAUAAGCGGAGGAAAAGAAACUAACUAGGAUUCCCUCAGUAACGGCGAGUGAAGCGGGAAGAGCUCAAAUUUGAAAUCUUAAAGGUUCUACCUUGACGAAUUGUAGUUUAAAGAAGUGUUUUCUGUUGGAGUUUUGGUAAAAGUUCUUUGGAAUAGGACAUCAUAGAGGGUGAGAAUCCCCGUAUUUGACCAUUAUUUCCAGCUUUGUGAUACACUUUCAAAGAUGUCGGAUUGUUUGGGAAUGCAGUCCAAAAUGGGUGGUAAAUUUCAUCUAAAGCUAAAUACUUGGCGAGAGACCGAUAGCGAACAAGUACCGUGAGGGAAAGAUGAAAGGAACUUUGAAAAGAGAGUUAAACAGUACGUGAAAUUGUCAAAAGGGAAGCGUUUGACACCAGUGUUGUUUUCUCGAAAAUCAAUUAAAAAAGGCAGGAUUUUGUGUUGUAUUGACUUUAUCAGCUUUCUGCACUCUUUUCUUGUCUUUUUUAAUGCACUUUUCGUUUAACAAGUCAACAUCAAUUUCUUUUGUUGUAAAAGGGUCAUUGGAAGGUGGCUUUCUUUUCGGAGAAAGUGUUUAUAGCCUUUGGCCUCUGCAAUCGGAGAGAUUGAGGUCUGCAGCGUAGAUCCUUCGGGGUUAGAUACAUUUGUGCUAUGUUAUAGCCUUUCAUAGACAACUUGUUGACUAUGAUCAGUCAUGUAGCUUACUCGCUUAUGCUAUUUUACCUACGCUUAGGAUGUUGAUGUGAUACUGCGAGCA
rnacentral:rRNA from 1 species